rnacentral:rRNA from 1 species
CUACGAAGGGGGCUAGCGUUGUUCGGAAUUACUGGGCGUAAAGCGCACGUAGGCGGAUAUUUAAGUCAGGGGUGAAAUCCCAGUGCUCAACUCUGGAACUGCCUUUGAUACUGGGUAUCUUGAGUAUGGAAGAGGUAAGUGGAAUUCCGAGUGUAGAGGUGAAAUUCGUAGAUAUUCGGAGGAACACCAGUGGCGAAGGCGGCUUACUGGUCCAUUACUGACGCUGAGGUGCGAAAGCGUGGGGAGCAAACAGGAUUAGAUACCCUAGUAGUCC